rnacentral:lncRNA from 1 species
CUUAAGCAUAAACAACAAAAAUAACAAUCUUAAUCAUAAACAGAUAACAUAUUCUAUUAAUACCAACAAACUAUAUUGUCUCAAAUGCAACAUUAAGAAAAUGCUGCAGAACCGACCGUCCCUAGAGCAAGUGGCAAAGGGCUUGGUGGUUGGUACCCGAGAUCCAAGUUUGAAUCCUAGUUGAUUCACAUUUCUAGCUAAGUUUAUUUCUAGAUGAAAUAAAUGAAGCGGGUAGCGUGCUACUUAUCUCUCUCAAAAAAAAAAAGAAAAUGCUGCAGAUGCAGUAAUCUAGGCCCUUGUUUGGUUGGGGGUUAAGGGGUGGAAUAACCCCUUAACCCCCAUUUUAUCUCCAAACACCCCAAAAAAUAGGUGGGGUUAGCUAACCCCACCUAACCCCACCUCAAAUAAAUUAUCCCGGGUUAGCUAAUCCCACCUAAUCCCACCAAACUCCAACCAAACACUAUUUUCUAUUCAUAAUAAUCCACUAUCUUUCUUAUCACACCUACUCCAACCAAUCAUUAUCCUUCUUUAUCAAUCAUUAUCUUCUUAUCCCACCUACCCAACCAAACACUAUUUUUUAUUAUUCUAGACUAACUCCAACCCCCAACCAAACACAAAAAAACUUUAACUCCACUUUAACCCUGAACUUAACUCUAUCCCUGGAAUAGCUACUUUUUUCUUAACCCCGAACCAAACGGAGGCUAGGGGUUUCAAGAUUCAACUAAAUACAACAC